CCUACGGGAGGCAGCAGUGGGGAAUUUUGGACAAUGGGCGCAAGCCUGAUCCAGCUAUUCCGCGUGUGGGAUGACGGCCUUCGGGUCGUAAACCACUUUUGUAGAGAACGAAAAGUCUGUUGAUAAUACCGUUAGAUGAUGACGGUACCCUACGAAUAAGCACCGUCUAACUACGUGCCAGCAGCUGCGGUAAUACGUAGGGUGCGAGCGUUAAUCGGAAUUACUGGGCGAAAAGGGUGUGCAGGCGGUUUUGCAAGCUGGAUGUGAAAUUCUCGGGCUUAACCUGGGAACUCCAUACAUGACUGCAAGACUAGAGUGCGUCAGAGGGGGGUGGAAUUCCAAGUGUAGCAGUGAAAUGCGUAGAGAUUUAGAAGAACACCGAUGGCGAAGGCAGCCCCCUGGGACACAACUGACGCUCAUACACGAAAGCGUGGGGAGCAAACAGGAUUAGAUACCCGUGUAGUC
rnacentral:rRNA from 1 species